GAAAGAACAUGAGGUCUAUGCUCUUAUAAUACCCCUUUCCUGUUCUGAUUACCUGUUCCUUCUGCAGUCAAGGAUGGCACUCAAAUGUCUAGCUGCUGUGCUGCCACAGGACCUACUGUUUGCAGGCUGCCUUGUAUGACUUCUACAUAGGAUCUGCUGUCUAUCUGGUGUUGACAUAUGCCACACACUGAUGUGAAGUUCCUUACUUGAUUUGUAUUGAAAGAAAAAGGGUCAGAAUUUUUUCUAUGCUAUAAUCAGGCAUAGAGCUUUGAACAAAGAUCAAUGCCAGCAUCCCACUCUGGAGGCGCCUACACUUCAAAAUCCUUCCCUAUCAGACAAGAUUCCAAAGGAUACUCUUGAAUUUCUUCUGUGGUAAAAAUGGGAUAUUUGGCAGGGGCAGUGGUAUGUAUUUACAUGACUGACACAGUGAGAAAUGUUUUCACAAGUAAUGGCUGAAGGUAGGAAGAGGCUGCUCACCUAUCUGCACUCCGCCACUUGUGUGUUUAAGAGGUCACAUUUUCUUUAAAUAACAAGUUCAACAUAAGUCUACAGGAGAGAUGUUUUCUUCUCCCAGCACAGGCAUAAUGUACACCUUCAUGUAUCUCACAUCUCAGAGCAGUAACAUACUCCAGGGCAAGUCACCUUCUUGAUCAUCCAUUCUCAGGAUGGCAUUGUUACCCAUGGAGCAGCUAACCAGAGAGCCUUGAUGUUCACUCAGUGUGGUCUUGUAGGUGGAUGUGAGUAUCACAUCCAGGCUAAGUGAGGGACCUUGAACACACAGAAGCUAUAGUUACUCCCUGUUAUAUAUAAUAAUAUUUGUAUUUACAGGAUGAGCAGGAGGCCUGAGCAUCUGUGUGUGAUUUACUGGUUACUGACCUGUUAAAUAUUUGUUGCUAGGGAAUGCUGCAAUUGUGUUUUCACACAAUGAAAGUGCCCUGGUUGUAAAAAUCACCUUUGUACUACUUAUAGCGCAAGGAAUGUCAUAGUUUCCAAAUCCACUUAACCACCUAAGUAAUAUACUUUAACAUGAGAAUCUGAUUCAUUUUGCAUUUUAAUAGGUAAAUGCAGUGCAAAUUUGAGACAUAGCAGCAGGCAUUGCAUUUGUAGCUAAUUAAGGAAAACUGGAUUGAGCCCAGAUGUGGAUUAUGCAAAGUGAUUACUGGUGUUCCUUAGAAGCUAAUAAUUUUGAAAGCAUUUCCUUGUGCUUGUUCACUUUUUAAGUAUGCCAAGAUUAAAAAAAAAAAAAAAAGCUUCUGAAAGGGGGAAAAUAGGCUUCCACAGAAUAAAGCUAUCAAUGGCAAUUACUUCUAUCGUUUCAAAUUGAUGUGUAUGGUAGUAACAGUUGCAGCCAUUCUUUAAACCAAAACCUGCCAAUGUGAUUUCCAAAGUGAGCACAGCAAAUAGUUUUCAGCUACUGAGUUAACAAACAUAGAGCUUGGCAUCCACUCCAAUUCCCACUGGAACAAUUUGUGACAUUACGAUAUUUCAUUUUUGUUCCAGAAAAAAAGACAACAUAAUAAAUGUUAAUUGUUAAAGAUAAGAUGGUGCUAUGUCUAAUUCCACCAAACAGCAGAGUGAACGAAGCUGUGGAGAACAAUGGAGAACAAAGAUAGUCCACCUGAGGAAAGGAGGCAGAAUCUGGCUACCUAGAAGUUAAAGAAUGAUAGCACUAUGUCAGGAUCUUUAAUAAAGCACUAAGAGAUACAAAAGACUUGCUAUGUAAAUAAGCAACUCAAUAAGUUUAAUUUUUUUUUUUUUUAACAUAAACUGAUUUUAAUAUUUUUGAUAGGUUAUCAAAUAUCCAUCAGAAGCCUAGGGGAAGAAACUGCCAGAAAAAUAUAAGCAGUUUGAAGCUUGAAUUUAUGCUGUUUUUGUGGUGGGAAACUUGCCCAAGUGUUUGAUUUUACAAAGCUGACAAGUGGUUUGGCAGUAUCCACAGAAGCUUCUGCCUUCUUUCUUUUCCCUUUUUUUUUUUUUUAAUUUGUAUUGAUCUUGCUGUUAAAUGCUAGUGAUUCAGCAUAACUCAGCCUUAGACACUUUUCAAUUAAAAAUAUUGCCAUUCUGAAAU